UGGGGAAUCUUGGUCAAUGGGCGAAAGCCUGAACCAGCCAUGCCGCGUGUGUGAAGAAGGCCCUAGGGUUGUAAAGCACUUUAAGCAGGAAAGAAAAAGCCCGGGCCAAUACCCCGAGGCCUUGACGGUACCUGCAGAAUAAGCACCGGCAAACUCCGUGCCAGCAGCCGCGGUAAUACGGAGGGUGCAAGCGUUAAUCGGAAUUACUGGGCGUAAAGCGUGCGUAGGCGGCGUUGCAAGUCGGAUGUGAAAGCCCCGGGCUCAACCUGGGAAUUGCAUUCGAAACUGUAGUGCUAGGGUGUGGUAGAGGAAGACGGAAUUCCACGUGUAGCGGUGAAAUGCGUAGAUAUGUGGAGGAACACCGAUGGCGAAGGCAAUCUUCUGGGCCAACACUGACGCUGAGGUACGAAAGCGUGGGUAGCCAACAGGAUUAGAUACCCCCGUAGUCC
rnacentral:rRNA from 1 species